AGCACUUUUAAUAAAUGUGCUGGCAGAUGUAAGUCCGACGUGCGAUACAAACGCAUGGCCUCAAACAUGGCUUUGGGAUUAC
rnacentral:ncRNA from 1 species